GGCAGGGAGCGAUUGCUUGUCUUUCCUGCCCUUAUUCGCCAAGGGAUGAAUGGCUCGUUGAGAAUAGCUGAAUGGAUGGGAUAAGUGUUCAUGUGGGUAUUGAUGGAGAAAUAAAUUUAAAAACAAAGAUGUCAAAGAGAGAUGCUGAAGAAAACAGAUGAAAUAAGAAAAGGAAACAGAAAGAAGAUAGAUAACAAAUGUUGGUGUGGAAGAUGUACCAAAUGAUCAACAAACAUGAAACCAAUCUCAUAGAGGUGGUUGUCUCUGUUCCGGUUCUCCCCUGACCGGGAAAUGCGUACAACAGCACGCCUCGGAGAUCCUCGAGAGGUAGGGCAAACUAAAGGGAAGAUAAAAGAGGAAGAGGUGGAACCUCUUCAACAGGACGCUUGCCUAAACUUAUCUCUCGCCUCCGAGAUUGUAUGUCAUCUAACAUCGAAGGAGAGGCAAGAGAUCGGCGGAAAGAAAUGUCCGUAGAAGACCCAGUAUGGUGUGGAUCAUAGGAAAACCAAAAUGGUGGACAACAGGUAUAUCAGGCCCAGGAAGACGGACAGCAGAACCGGCAAGAGUAACACACAUCGGAAGGAGUAUCCUCGGAACGGCGCCCGUGCACGCAGAGAAGCAGAAAGGGAGAACGACCGGCCGCGGCGACGACCUGAUCCCCGGCCUACACCUCCUCCGGGCAGUUGUAUGGCAGACAAAGAAGCAACAUAAGGUAAAGCAGGAGACCCAGAACCAGAAGAUGGCCGAUCGAACGCAGCAGCACCAGCUGAACCAACAGCUGAGGCAGGAAGAGCAGCAGAGGAGUCCCGCCGAUGGCCGCGAGAACCCCGGCCGAGGAAGCAGCUGAUCCAGGCCACGGCGGAAACGCAGCGCCGAAGGCACAUGCAAAGGAAGUGGAGGCAAAGCCGGCGACGCGUAUGACGGAUGCACCGGCGAAGACGGCGGGUACGGCUAACCGCAGGCGAGCUGCUAAGAUGAUGAAGACGCGGCAAGAGCCGGCGCAAAGGCGGCGGUACAGGAACCGGGCGACCUCCCCAACGACCUGCAGCAGCAUCCAUGACCAAGCAGAUUCCUGAAACAAAAUAAAUCGAGUAAGACGGGACAAAGCGGGACGCCAAACGGAGAAGAACCAGAAGGAAACGCUGAGAUCAAAACCUGGAAAGGAAAUCCAGCGACGGAAGAAAAAGGGGAGGAAAGAAAGAGCAGCGGUCUCUCCGCUGCAGAUAGGUAGUCGUAUGAACCGAGGAGAAGACGCAUGAGGAAAUUAGGUCCAGGAAGAAG